AUUGAACGCUGGCGGCAUGCUUUACACAUGCAAGUCGAACGGUAACAGGCCGCAAGGUGCUGACGAGUGGCGAACGGGUGAGUAAUGCAUCGGAACGUGCCCAGUCGUGGGGGAUAACGCAGCGAAAGCUGCGCUAAUACCGCAUACGAUCUCUGGAUGAAAGCGGGGGACCGAAAGGCCUCGCGCGAUUGGAGCGGCCGAUGUCAGAUUAGGUAGUUGGUGGGGUAAAGGCUCACCAAGCCAACGAUCUGUAGCUGGUCUGAGAGGACGACCAGCUACACUGGGACUGAGACACGGCCCAGACUCCUACGGGAGGCAGCAGUGGGGAAUUUUGGACAAUGGGCGCAAGCCUGAUCCAGCAAUGCCGCGUGCAGGAAGAAGGCCUUCGGGUUGUAAACUGCUUUUGUACGGAACGAAACGGUCCUGGUUAAUACCUGGGGCUAAUGACGGUACCGUAAGAAUAAGCACCGGCUAACUACGUGCCAGCCGCCGCUGUAACAC
rnacentral:rRNA from 1 species